rnacentral:rRNA from 1 species
UCCCCCAGUAGCGGCGAGCGAACGGGGAGGAGCCCAGAGUCUGAAUCAGUUUGUGUGUUAGUGGAAGCGUCUGGAAAGUCGCACGGUACAGGGUGAUAGUCCCGUACACCAAAAUGCACAGGCUGUGAACUCGAUGAGUAGGGCGGGACACGUGACAUCCUGUCUGAAUAUGGGGGGACCAUCCUCCAAGGCUAAAUACUCCUGACUGACCGAUAGUGAACCAGUACCGUGAGGGAAAGGCGAAAAGAACCCCGGCGAGGGGAGUGAAAUAGAACCUGAAACCGUGUACGUACAAGCAGUGGGAGCACCUUCGUGGUGUGACUGCGUACCUUUUGUAUAAUGGGUCAGCGACUUAUAUUUUGUAGCAAGGUUAACCGAAUAGGGGAGCCGUAGGGAAACCGAGUCUUAACUGGGCGUCUAGUUGCAAGGUAUAGACCCGAAACCCGGUGAUCUAGCCAUGGGCAGGUUGAAGGUUGGGUAACACUAACUGGAGGACCGAACCGACUAAUGUUGAAAAAUUAGCGGAUGACUUGUGGCUGGGGGUGAAAGGCCAAUCAAACCGGGAGAUAGCUGGUUCUCCCCGAAAGCUAUUUAGGUAGCGCCUCGUGAACUCAUCUUCGGGGGUAGAGCACUGUUUCGGCUAGGGGGCCAUCCCGGCUUACCAAACCGAUGCAAACUCCGAAUACCGA